UCGAGAGAGAUUCCAUUAGUUGUCUCUAUGAAUAGUG
rnacentral:sRNA from 1 species